AUUGAACGCUGGCGGCAGGCCUAACACAUGCAAGUCGAACGAGUGGCGGACGGGUGAGUAAUGUCUGGGAAACUGCCCGAGGGAGGGGGAUAACUACUGGAAACGGUAGCUAAUACCGCAUACCAUCGGAUGUGCCCAGAUGGGAUUAGCGAGUAGGUGGGGUAACGGCUCACCUGGGCGACGAUCCCUAGCUGGUAUGAGAGGAUGACCAGCCACACUGACACGGAGACACGGUCCAGACUCCUACGGGAGGCAGCAGUGGGGAAUAUUGCACAAUGGGCGCAAUCCUGAUGCAGCCAUGCCGCGUGUAUGAAGAAGGCCGUCGGGUUGUAAAGUACUUUCAGCGAGGAGGCGUUACUCGCAGAAGAAGCACCGGCUAACUCCGUGCCAGCAGCCGCGGUAAUAC
rnacentral:rRNA from 1 species